rnacentral:rRNA from 1 species
GAUGAACGCUAGCGGCAGGCUUAACACAUGCAAGUCGAGGGGUAUAGGUUUUCGGACCUAGAGACCGGCGCACGGGUGCGUAACGCGUAUGCAAUCUACCUUUCACAGAGGGAUAGCCCAGAGAAAUUUGGAUUAAUACCUCAUAGUAUAGCAGUUUCGCAUGAAACCACUAUUAAAGUUCCAACGGUGAAAGAUGAGCAUGCGUCCCAUUAUCUAGAUGGUAAGGUAACGGCUUACCAUGGCUACGAUGGGUAGGGGUCCUGAGAGGGAGAUCCCCCACACUGGUACCGAGACACGGACCAGACUCCUACGGGAGGCAGCAGUGAGGAAUAUUGGUCAAUGGACGCAAGUCUGAACCAGCCAUGCCGCGUGCAGGAUGACGGUCCUAUGGAUUGUAAACUGCUUUUGUACGAGAAGAAACAACAUUACGUGUAAUAUCUUGACGGUAUCGUAAGAAUAAGGAUCGGCUAACUCCGUGCCAGCAGCCGCAGUAAAAC